rnacentral:rRNA from 1 species
GACGAACGCUGGCGGCGUGCUUAACACAUGCAAGUCGAACGGAAAGGCCCCUUUGGGGGUACUCGAGUGGCGAACGGGUGAGUAACACGUGAGUAACCUGCCCUUGACUGCGGGAUAACUUCAGGAAACUGGGGCUAAUACCGGAUAGGAAUCCUUGCUGCAUGGUGGGGGUUGGAAAGCUUCGGCGGUUUUGGAUGGACUCGCGGCUUAUCAGCUUGUUGGUGGGGUAGGGGUUUCCCAAGGCUUUGCCGGGAGGCCGGCCGGGGAGGGCGACCGGCCACUUUGGGCUGGGGUUCGGGCCAGACUCCUACGGGAGGCAGCAGUGGGGAAUAUUGCACAAUGGGCGGAAGCCUGAUGCAGCAACGCCGCGUGCGGGAUGACGGCCUUCGGGUUGUAAACCGCUUUCAGCAGGGGCGAAGCUUGUGGUGACGGUACCUGCAGAAGAAGCACCGGCUAACUACGUG